rnacentral:rRNA from 1 species
GGUGAGUAGCACGUGGGUAACCUACCCUUAGAUUUGGGAUAACUCCGCGAAAGCGGGGCUAAUACUGAAUGAUAUUCCGAUUCCCAAGGGAGUCGGAAUCAAAGGUGGCCUCUGCAUGCAAGCUAUCAUCAAAGGAUGGGCCCGCGUACCAUUAGCUAGUUGGUAGGGUAAUAGCCUACCGAGGCGACGAUGGUUAGCUGGUCUGAGAGGAUGGCCAGCCACACUGGAACUGAGACACGGUCCAGACUCCUACGGGAGGCAGCAGUGGGGAAUCUUGCGCAAUGGGGGAAACCUUGACGCAGCAACGCCGCGUGGGUGAUGAAGGCCUUCGGGUCGUAAAGCCCUGUCAGGUGGGAAGAAACGUAUCGGUGUUAAUACCGCCGAUAUUUGACGGUACCACCGGAGGAAGCACCGGCUAACUCCGUGCCAGCAGCCGCGGUAAUACGGAGGGUGCAAGCGUUGUUCGGAAUUACUGGGCGUAAAGCGCGUGUAGGCGGUCGGGCAAGUUAGAUGUGAAAGCCUUCCGCUUAACGGAAGAAGUGCAUUUAAUACUACCCGGCUGGAGUACGGGAGAGGAGAGUGGAAUUCCCGGUGUAGAGGUGAAAUUCGUAGAUAUCGGGAGGAACACCAGUAGCGAAGGCGGCUCUCUGGUCCGAUACUGACGCUGAGACGCGAAAGCGUGGGGAGCAAACAGGAUUAGAUACCCUGGUAGUCCACGCCGUAAACGAUGGGCACUAGGUGUAGGAGGUAUUGACCCCUUCUGUGCCGAAGUUAACGCAUUAAGUGCCCCGCCUGAGGGAGUACGACCGCAAGGUU